UGAUGAAAGAACAUUUAAUCUUUAAUUUAUUGGAAUCAUUGAAAUGACUUAAUGAGAGAUGGUAAACUCGUCACAUACAUUUUUCUAAAUACUAAAAUAGGAAAGGAAAGUCAUUUUGAAAAAAGAAAAAAGAAAAGAGAAAAAAAAAGAGGAUUAAUAUGCAAACUACGCGCAUUAGCACAUACUAGGAGAGUUAACAUUGAAUACCGUACUCUGUUAGAGAGAAUAUUUUUAUAAAAUCAACUGUAAAUUGAUUGAUUAUUGGUGUUUAAACACUUGUCUCUAUGUCAUAUAUCAUGGCAACCAGUUAAUUGGAGUAGUAAGCCGGUGUAGCCGUAGAGAAUCACCGACAUUCUCUAGGAAACUUGCAAUCAAAAGUCAAUAAAUAUCGGAGUUGAACGCACAAUACCAAAG
rnacentral:lncRNA from 1 species